UGCAGUCGAGCGGUAAGGCCCCUUCGGGGGUACACGAGCGGCGAACGGGUGAGUAACACGUGAGUAACCUGCCCCAUUCUUUGGAAUAACCAGUGGAAACGCUGGCUAAUGCCGAAUAUGACCAUCGAAGGCAUCUUCUGGUGGUGGAAAGCUCCGGCGGAGUGGGAUGGACUCGCGGCCUAUCAGCUUGUUGGUGAGGUAAUGGCUCACCAAGGCGACGACGGGUAGCCGGCCUGAGAGGGUGACCGGCCACACUGGGACUGAGACACGGCCCAGACUCCUACGGGAGGCAGCAGUGGGGAAUAUUGGACAAUGGGCGAAAGCCUGAUCCAGCAACGCCGCGUGAGGGAUGACGGCCUUCGGGUUGUAAACCUCUUUCAGCAGGGACGAAGCGAAAGUGACGGUACCUGCAGAAGAAGGACCGGCCAACUACGUGCCAGCAGCCGCGGUAAUACGUAGGGUCCGAGCGUUGUCCGGAAUUAUUGGGCGUAAAGGGCUCGUAGGCGGUUUGUCGCGUCGGGAGUGAAAACUCAGGGCUCAACCCUGAGCGUGCUUACGAUACGGGCAAACUAGAGGUAUGCAGGGGAGAACGGAAUUCCUGGUGUAGCGGUGGAAUGCGCAGAUAUCAGGAGGAACACCGGUGGCGAAGGCGGUUCUCUGGGCAUUACCUGACGCUGAGGAGCGAAAGCAUGGGGAGCGAACAGGAUUAGAUACCCUGGUAGUCCAUGCCGUAAACGUUGGGCGCUAGGUG
rnacentral:rRNA from 1 species